CACAGGUCUUGUCCCUGGUGGCGUGACGCCAAGUGCCUGCUCCCUCUGGACCGAAGAAACACAGACCGUUAUUACAAGUCCAUUUCCAGUUACCUUUACCAAUCACUUACUUCCAUUGACUUUCAAUAUGUACCGAUCGCUUGGCAAAGGUAUUCCAUAACAUGGGGCUUGUUAAAGCCGCCUUUAUCUACAUGAGAGGAUCCAGACAAGGACAUCGUCACAAUGGGAUGGAAAACUAUUGUUGUCACGACUUCCGCCGAAGUCGGUCUCUCUCCUUGUUCGGGCGGCGUUCGGCGGUCACCCGUCACCGAAAUCGCUGAAGUUUGAUACUUUUAUCUCCCGCACCAAAUUCAACAUCUGAUAUCUGAGCAGCGACUGAUCGCUACAGCUGUACAUAGUCUUAUCGGUAAAUAGCCCACCAAUUUUACCUACCUCAUCUCCAUACUGUUUUUAUCUAUUUACUUUUCUGCUCAUCAAUAUCUCUACCUGUACAUGACCAUCUGAUCAUUUAUCACUCCAGUGUUAAUCUUCAAAAUUGUAAUUAUUUGCCUACCUCCUCAUGCCUUUUGCACACAAUGUAUAUAGACUCCCCUUUUUUUCUACUGUGUUAUUGACUUGUUUAUUGUUUACUCAAUGUGUAACUGUGUUGUCUGUUCACACUGCUAUGCUUUAUCUUGGCCAGGUCGCAGUUACAAAUGAGAACUUGUUCUCAACUAGCCUACCUGGUUAAAUAAAGUUGAAAUAAAAUAAAAAUAAUAAUAAAAUAAAUGUCCAUUUCGGUACAUGAUAGCUGGUUUUUCGGUGCUGUUUUCACCCGUGCCGUAAUAUAUUUACCGUUUGUAUUUGGUCAAGUGUAUUUGUUACCUCGUGCCUUUAUUUUU